CUUCUCCCGCCUCCACCCCCCCGGGACCCCGUGGGAAGCCCUGCCCGCAGCGCUUCAAGAGGCCCGAGUCCGGAAGGCUGGGCAGAGGCUGCGACGGGGACGGGAUGGGACAGAGACCGGUUCCUGCAGAGUAAAUGGGUGGGAGAAUUGAAUCAUCAACCCCACAUGGCUGCUCAGGAAGGAGGUGUUCCAUGACAAUCAGCACAAUACAUCCUUUGCAAAAGCACAAACCGCUCCAUUAUUGUCUUGGGUGAACUCACUUGCAAUAGUUCAUUAGUGGUCUAACCAAAGUGCUCUGCAUCCAGAAGGCCUUCCUCAUUCUUUUAACAAAUACUGGGACCUCGGUAUCUGUCAGCCCCUGAUCUUCAAGCUGAGGAUAUCAAGGUAAACAUGUAGGAUCGUAGCCCUGGGGGAUGGCUGCAGCCCAGACAUUUAACCAAGAAGACCCACCCAAUGAAUGAUUAGGGGACCUUUGUGAUCAGGGCUCUGAGGGAUAACUACAGGUUGCAGGGGACCCUGAGACCAGAAGAAGGAGGAAUUCACCAGGUGAAGACUUAGGGGAGAGCCAAAUCUCUCUUUGACCCAAGCAGAGCCAAAGUCUUUAGGGAGGAGGAGAAAGAGCCAUGAGUGUGUGCUGGAAGGCUUCAGCAUCACAAAGAUAGCCAUUUUCUGCAAAUCAACCUAUAUUAUCAAAACAAAUCCCAGCAGAGUUUUGUGGAACUUGGCAAGCUGCUCUUAAAACCUGAAUGGAAGAGCAAAGGGCCAGGUGUAACCAAGACAGUCUUGACUAAACAGGGAGGUGAGCCAUGGGCUGUUGUUCAGCCAGAUAUCAAGACACACCAUGAAACUCUAACAGCAUAGGGUUGGUGCCAGGAUGGAUUACUGGACUAAGGAAACGAAAUAAGGAGCCUACGAAGAGUUUCCACAAGCAUGUGGACACUCAGUGUAGGCCAGAAAUGGGGCUACAGAUCAGCGGAGGAAGAAUUGCUGAACCCAAAAGAAUUGGAAACAGGUGGGCAAACAAGACCUUGCACGGGCAUGCUGAUAGCAUCGCUAUUGAUAACAGCAGAAAAGCGGAAACAAUCCAAGUGUCCUUCAAGCAGUGACUGGAUAAAGAAAACCUGGUACAUCCAUACAGUGGAAUAUUAUUUGGCAUAAAAAGGAAUGAAAUACCGAUUCAUGUUACCAUGUGGAUGAACCUUGAAAACAUGCUAAGUGAAAGAAACCAGACACAAAAGAUCAUGUAUUGUAUGACUCAACUUUAUGGAAAUAUCCAAAAUAGGCAAAUUCAUAGAGACAGAAAGCAGAUAAAUGGUUACCAGGGGCUGGGGGAGGGAGCUCGGGAGUGACUGCCAAGUGGGUACUUGGUUUCCUCUCGGGCUGAUGAAGAACACUGUGGAAAUAGACAGUGCCGAGGGUUCCACAGCACGGUGAAUGCAUUAAAUGGCCUGAACUGUGCACUUAAACACGGCUUACCCAUUUUGAAUGUGAAUUUUAUGUGAUGACCUUUAUCACAAUUUUAAAAAGUGUUUCUGAGCAAUCCAUAUGAAAAGUAAAAUUAGA